rnacentral:rRNA from 1 species
CACGUAGGGUGCGAGCGUUGUCCGGAAUUAUUGGGCGUGAAAGAGCUCGUAGGCGGUGUGUCGCGUCGGCCGUGAAAACCUGCAGCUUAACUGUGGGCUUGCGGUCGAUACGGGCAUCACUGGAGUUCGGCAGGGGAGACUGGAAUUCCUGGUGUAGCGGUGAAAUGCGCAGAUAUCAGGAGGAACACCGGUGGCGAAGGCGGGUCUCUGGGCAGUAACUGACGCUGGAGGAGCGGAAAGCGUGGGGAGCGAACAGG